rnacentral:lncRNA from 1 species
AUUUAUUUAUUCCGUGAAACUUUGCAAAAACAUAAAUAACUGAAUUGACAAAACAACAAACCGUGACGCAGAGAGAAACAAAACACUACUCAAAAUAUAAUAACCCACAAAACCCAGGAAGAAAAACCCCCAACUUAAAUAUGAUCUCCAAUUAGAGACAACGAGGACCAGCUGCCUCCAAUUGAAGAUCAACCUAAAAAACAACAACAUAGAAAUAGAAAACUAGAACUAAACAUAGCUAUAGAAAACAUAGAACAAAACACCCCUGUCACGCCCUGACCUACUCCACCAUAGAAAAUAACAUCUUACUAUGGUCAGGACAUGACACUGUCUCUCUCUCUCUCUCUACCUCUGCCUCCCUCUCUCUCCAUCUCUCUCUCUACCUCUGCUUCCCUCUCUCUCUCUCUCUAUACCUCUGCUCCCCCCUCUCUCUCUCUCUGUCUCCCUCUCUUUUGCGAGAGAGAGAGAGAGAGAGAGAGAGAGAGAGAGAGAGAGGUGUAGAGGGAGGGAAGCAAGCAGAGGUGUAGAGAGAGAGAGGGAAGCAGAGGUGUAGAGAGAGAGAGAGAGGGAAGCAGAGAGAGAGAGAGAGAGAGAGGGAAGCAGAGGUAGAGAGAGAGAGAGAGAGAGAGGGAAGCAGAGGUAGAGAGAGAGAUGGAGAGAGAGGGAGGCAGAGGUAGAGAGAGAGAGAGGGAAGCAGAGGUAGAGAGAGAGAUGGAGAGAGAGGGAAGCAGAGGUAGAGAGAGAGAGAGAGAGAGAGAGAGAGGGACGCAGAGGUAGAGAGAGAGAGAGAGAGAGAGGGAAGCAGAGGUAGAGAGAGAGAUGGAGAGAACAAUAGAGACAGAGAAAAAGACAGAGCAGCCAACCCCUCAGGACUAAAUACACCUCAGAAGAACGACCAAACAACUAAAAGGUACAGAAACAAAUUCACUUGAAUGUGGUCAGAGCGCCCCCAGGUGGCCGAGGAGGGUGUUAACUGUCUCAUUAAGUUUCAUAAGACGAUCAGUAGGCAAUCAUCACUCUGAAGACAAAUAAUACAGACAAUAUGAGAGGCACAGGCUGUAUCCCAAAUAACACAUCACAGGCUGUUUCCCAAAUAACACAUCACAGGCUGUAUCCCAAAUAACACAUCACAGGCUGUUUCCCAAAUAACACAUCACAGGCUGUUUCCCAAAUAACACAUCACAGGCUGUUUCCCAAAUAACACAUCACAGGCUGUUUCCCAAAUAACACAUCACAGGCUGUAUUCCAAAUAACACAUCACAGGCUGUAUCCCAAAUAACACAUCACAGGCUGUAUCCCAAAUAACACCCUAUCUUAUAUAUAGGACAUGACUACUGACCAUAUACCUAAAGAGAACCACAGUAUGAGGCAUAACACCCAUAAAACCUUGCGGUGAAACAGGAAAUAUACCUCUUACCCCCCC